rnacentral:rRNA from 1 species
CUUAUAUUCUGUAGCAAGGUUAACCGUAUAGGGGAGCCGAAGGGAAACCGAGUCUUAACCGGGCGUUAAGUUGCAGGGUAUAGACCCGAAACCCGGUGAUCUAGCCAUGGGCAGGUUGAAGGUUGGGUAACACUAACUGGAGGACCGAACCGACUAAUGUUGAAAAAUUAGCGGAUGACCUGUGGCUGGGGGUGAAAGGCCAAUCAAACCGGGAGAUAGCUGGUUCUCCCCGAAAGCUAUUUAGGUAGCGCCUCGUGAAUUCAUCUCCGGGGGUAGAGCACUGUUUCGGCUAGGGGGCCAUCCCGGCUUACCAACCCGAUGCAAACUGCGAAUACCGGAGAAUGUUAUCACGGGAGACACACGGCGGGUGCUAACGUCCGUCGUGAAGAGGGAAACAACCCAGACCGCCAGCUAAGGUCCCAAAGUCAUGGUUAAGUGGGAAACGAUGUGGGAAGGCCCAGACAGCCAGGAUGUUGGCUUAGAAGCAGCCAUCAUUUAAAGAAAGCGUAAUAGCUCACUGGUCGAGUCGGCCUGCGCGGAAGAUGUAACGGGGCUAAACCAUGCACCGAAGCUGCGGCAGCGACACUGUGUGUUGUUGGGUAGGGGAGCGUUCUGUAAGCCUGUGAAGGUGUGUCGUGAGGCAUGCUGGAGGUAUCAGAAGUGCGAAUGCUGACAUAAGUAACGAUAAAGCGGGUGAAAAGCCCGCUCGCCGGAAGACCAAGGGUUCCUGUCCAACGUUAAUCGGGGCAGGGUGAGUCGACCCCUAAGGCGAGGCCGAAAGGCGUAGUCGAUGGGAAACGGGUUAAUAUUCCCGUACUUGGUGUUACUGCGAAGGGGGGACGGAGAAGGCUAUGUUGGCCGGGCGACGGUUGUCCCGGUUUAAGCGUGUAGGUGUGUGUUCCAGGUAAAUCCGGUUCACUUUAACACUGAGGCGUGAUGACGAGGCACUACGGUGCUGAAGCAACAAAUGCCCUGCUUCCAGGAAAAGCCUCUAAGCAUCAGGUAACAUCAAAUCGUACCCCAAACCGACACAGGUGGUCAGGUAGAGAAUACCAAGGCGCUUGAGAGAACUCGGGUGAAGGAACUAGGCAAAAUGGUGCCGUAACUUCGGGAGAAGGCACGCUGACACGUAGGUGAAGUGAUUUACUCAUGGAGCUGAAGUCAGUCGAAGAUACCAGCUGGCUGCAACUGUUUAUUAAAAACACAGCACUGUGCAAACACGAAAGUGGACGUAUACGGUGUGACGCCUGCCCGGUGCCGGAAGGUUAAUUGAUGGGGUCAGCGCAAGCGAAGCUCCUGAUCGAAGCCCCGGUAAACGGCGGCCGUAACUAUAACGGUCCUAAGGUAGCGAAAUUCCUUGUCGGGUAAGUUCCGACCUGCACGAAUGGCGUAAUGAUGGCCAGGCUGUCUCCACCCGAGACUCAGUGAAAUUGAACUCGCUGUGAAGAUGCAGUGUACCCGCGGCAAGACGGAAAGACCCCGUGAACCUUUACUAUAGCUUGACACUGAACAUUGAGCCUUGAUGUGUAGGAUAGGUGGGAGGCUUUGAAGUGUGGACGCCAGUCUGCAUGGAGCCGACCUUGAAAUACCACCCUUUAAUGUUUGAUGUUCUAACGUGGACCCGUGAUCCGGGUUGCGGACAGUGUCUGGUGGGUAGUUUGACUGGGGCGGUCUCCUCCUAAAGAGUAACGGAGGAGCACGAAGGUUGGCUAAUCCUGGUCGGACAUCAGGAGGUUAGUGCAAUGGCAUAAGCCAGCUUGACUGCGAGCGUGACGGCGCGAGCAGGUGCGAAAGCAGGUCAUAGUGAUCCGGUGGUUCUGAAUGGAAGGGCCAUCGCUCAACGGAUAAAAGGUACUCCGGGGAUAACAGGCUGAUACCGCCCAAGAGUUCAUAUCGACGGCGGUGUUUGGCACCUCGAUGUCGGCUCAUCACAUCCUGGGGCUGAAGUAGGUCCCAAGGGUAUGGCUGUUCGCCAUUUAAAGUGGUACGCGAGCUGGGUUUAGAACGUCGUGAGACAGUUCGGUCCCUAUCUGCCGUGGGCGCUGGAGAACUGAGGGGGGCUGCUCCUAGUACGAGAGGACCGGAGUGGACGCAUCACUGGUGUUCGGGUUGUCAUGCCAAUGGCACUGCCCGGUAGCUAAAUGCGGAAGAGAUAAGUGCUGAAAGCAUCUAAGCACGAAACUUGCCCCGAGAUGAGUUCUCCCUGAGACUUAAAGUCUCCUGAAGGAACGUUGAAGACGACGACGUUGAUAGGCCGGGUGUGUAAGCGCAGCGAUGCGUUGAGCUAACCGGUACUAAUGAACCGUGAGGCUUAACCUUACA